UACAGAGGUCUCAAGCGUUGUUCGGAUUCAUUGGGCGUAAAGGGUGCGUAGGCGGCGCGGUAAGUCGGAUGUGAAAUCUCGGGGCUUAACUCCGAAACUGCAUUCGAUACUGCCGUGCUUGAGGACUGGAGAGGAGACUGGAAUUUACGGUGUAGCGGUGAAAUGCGUAGAUAUCGUAAGGAAGACCAGUGGCGAAGGCGGGUCUCUGGACAGUUCCUGACGCUGAGGCACGAAGGUCAGGGGAGUAAACGGG
rnacentral:rRNA from 1 species